UCUAGACAGAGGCACCACAUGGUCCUUGGGCCUUGUUGAGGAGGAAUGUUUUGUCUAGACAGAGGCACUAUAUGGUCUUGGGGCCUUAUUGAGGAGGAAUGUUUUGUCUAGACAGAGGCACCACAUGGUCCUGGGGCCUUAUUGAGGAGGAAUGUUUUGUCUAGACAGAGGCACCACAUGGUCCUUGGGCCUUGUUGAGGAGGAAUGUUUUGUCUAGACAGAGGCACCACAUGGUCCUGGGUCCUUAUUGAGGAGGAAUGGUUUGUCUAGACAGAGGCACUAUAUGGUCCUGGGGCCUUGUUGAGGAGGAAUGUUUUGUCUAGACAGAGGCACCACAUGGUCCUGGGGCCUUGUUGAGGAGGAAUGUUUUGUCUAGACAGAGGCACCACAUGGUCCUUGGGCCUUGUUGAGGAGGAAUGUUUUGUCUAGACAGAGGCACUAUAUGGUCUUGGGGCCUUAUUGAGGAGGAAUGUUUUGUCUAGACAGAGGCACCACAUGGUCCUGGGGCCUUAUUGAGGAGGAAUGUUUUGUCUAGACAGAGGCACCACAUGGUCCUGGGGCCUUAUUGAGGAGGAAUGUGAGAGUGUUACCCACCCGGCAUAUUUGAUUUUGCAACUCUUCUCCACCUUUAGGUCAUUUUGAUACCCGAAAGUGGGGAACAAAGCAAUCAUCCAAUGCACAGCAUGUUCAAUGAUUUAAACAUGCAUUCAGAAAGAUCACAUCGGUACUAACAUAUGAAGUAACCCUUCCCUACUGUAUGGAAGCAGAUUCUAGGUCAUCCACCCAGAGUGUCUGAAAACUUGCUUUGUUGAUGAAAUUUCACUUCCUUAUGAUCUAAAAUAUUUUUUUUUACCAAAAGACAAAUAUAAUUAUUCACGUUCUAAAUCGUUAAGUGUGGACUUUUCCUCUAACAUCCAAUAAUAAGCACCAAGAACUGUUGACAUGGAGGUGCAGGUUUCUUAUAACUGUUGACAUGGAGGUGCAGGUUUCUUAUAACAACAGUUGACAUGGAGGUGCAGGUUUCUUAUAACUGUUGACAUGGAGGUGCAGGUUUCUUAUAACUGUUGACAUGGAGGUGCAGGUUUCUUAUAACUGUUGACAUGGAGGUGCAGGUUUCUUAUAACAACUGUUGACAUGGAGGUGCAGGUUUCUUAUAACAACUGUUGACAUGGAGGUGCAGGUUUCUUAUAACUGUUGACAUGGAGGUGCAGGUUUCUUAUAACAACUGUUGACAUGGAGGUGCAGGUUUCUUAUAACUGUUGACAUGGAGGUGCAGGUUUCUUAUAACAACUGUUGACAUGGAGGUGCAGGUUUCUUAUAACAACUGUUGACAUGGAGGUGCAGGUUUCUUAUAACAACUGUUGACAUGGAGGUGCAGGUUUCUUAUAACAACAGUUGACAAAGAGGUGCAGGUUUCUUAUAA